CUAAUACAUGCAAGUCGAACGCGUCUUGGUUAUUGAUGUUAAGUGCUUGCAUUUAACUGAUUUAACAUUGAGACGAGUGGCGAACUGGUGAGUAACACGUGGGUAACCUGCCCUUGAAGUAGGGGAUAACACUUGGAAACAGGUGCUAAUACCGUAUAACAACCAAAACCACCUGGUUUUGGUUUAAAAGAUGGCUUCGGCUAUCACUUUAGGAUGGACCCGCGGCGUAUUAGCUUGUUGGUAAGGUAACGGCCUACCAAGGCAAUGAUACGUAGCCGACCUGAGAGGGUAAUCGGCCACAUUGGGACUGAGACACGGCCCAAACUCCUACGGGAGGCAGCAGUAGGGAAUCUUCCACAAUGGACGAAAGUCUGAUGGAGCAACGCCGCGUGAGUGAUGAAGGGUUUCGGCUCGUAAAACUCUGUUGUUGGAGAAGAACAGGUGUGAGAGUAACUGUUCACAUCUUGACGGUAUCCAACCAGAAAGCCACGGCUAACUACGUGCCAGCAGCCGCGGUAAUACGUAGGUGGCAAGCGUUGUCCGGAUUUAUUGGGCGUAAAGCGAGCGCAGGCGGUUUCUUAGGUCUGAUGUGAAAGCCUUCGGCUUAACCGGAGAAGUGCAUCGGAAACCAGGAGACUUGAGUGCAGAAGAGGACAGUGGAACUCCAUGUGUAGCGGUGAAAUGCGUAGAUAUAUGGAAGAACACCAGUGGCGAAGGC
rnacentral:rRNA from 1 species